GGAAGAUAUCCGAUUUGGAGGAAAGGUAAACAUCAACAAUACCUCAACUGUAUGUGUUCAAACCGAAACCAGCAACUGCACCCAUACAUUCGAAAUCGACACACACACGUGCAGUAAUAAUGGGAGGGAAUGGUACAUUUUGCAGACGAAUGUUCCCGAAAGUGUCUUCUGCUUUGCCCCUAACUACUGUCUCAGUUCGCCAUGUGCAAAUGGAGGUGAAUGUGUCGCAGGCCGUGACGGUUUCACAUGCAAUUGUACGACAGGACAUACAGGCCCUACGUGUGAUGGUGAUCCUUGUAAAGUGUCUAGAACCAUACCGUACCUGGAGGCAAGAGGC